rnacentral:rRNA from 1 species
GUGUGUGUAAUAUCAGAAUUUACUUUGAUUUUAGUAUUGUUAAAGAAAAAAAUAUUUGAUUUCUAAUGGAAAGGUAGUUUUUGAAAUAAAAAUAGUUAAUAUGUGUACUUUUUGGAGAAUGGCCUAUAGAGAUAGUAUAUUGAUGUGUGUUCUUGAAAAUUUAAGAGCUAUUGUUUUUGUUGUUUUUGUUGCAAAAAAAUCAUAAAAGUUAACAAUAGAGGUGACAUGUCUGUCGAAUAAGUUGAUAGCUAGUUUGGGGAGAAACAUAUUUACGUAUGGGGUAGGUUUUUUAUUUUUGUUAGUGCAAAACUAGUAAGGCUUAUACUCAGAUUUUUAGGGCUAAGCUUAAAAAUAUUAAAAUGUUUCGAAAAAAGUAAAGUAGGGUUUAUAUUGUCCGUCUAUUAAACUUUUUUAUAAAGUAAAUUAUGUAAAAUUAAUUUUUAUAGUAUCCUCACAAAUAUAAUAACUUUUUAUAUUGUGAUUAGUAUAGGAUCAGUAAUUGUGUUUUAGUGUUAUAAGAAGUAAAUUAUUUUUAGGUUAUUGUAUUUAGUUAGAUAACAUAGUAUUAUGAUUGGUUUAACCACGUGUGUAAAAGUUUAAUUUAUUUUGUUUUAGUAUUGGUUUGUUAAUUCGAAAUUAAAAUCUAUAUUGAAAGAACUCGGCAAAUUGUCUUUGUGCCUGUUUAUUAAAUACAUCGCCUUCUGAAUUAUGUGUAUAGAAGGUUUCGCCUGCCCGGUGACUGUAAUGGUUUAACGGCCGCUGGUUUUUGUGCUAAGGUAGCGCGGUAAGUAGCCCUUUAAUUGAGGGAUAGUAUGAAUGGCUGGACGCAGAGAAGCUGUUUCCAAUGUAGUAAAUAAGAAGUUUCUUUUCAAGUGUAAAAGCUUGAGUUUUUGUAAAAGACGACGAGACCCUGUCGAACUUAUUUAAAAAUCAGAAUAAUUUGGUUUGGCUUAAUUAGCAGAUUUUGGUUUAUAUUAUUUGUUAGUUAACCUUUCUUAGUUUGUAUUAAGUCUUUUAGUUAUGGUUUAUAACCGUAAUGUUUAUUACCUAAUAAUGCUUAAUUUAAAAGGUGGUGUUAUAUUGUAACUAUAGUUAGUUUGUAUAGAUUAGGUUGCUUUAAAAAGUUUAUACUGGUUUUGAAUUUUUGUUGGGAUAACACACACUUAUUAAACGGUGUGGUUUUUGUUGUAAGGACCCUAUAUGAUGGCCUAAAGCAAAAGUUACCGCAGGGAUAACAGCGUAAUUUUUUUCCGUAAGUUGUAUUGGGAAAGGAGUUUACGACCUCGAUGUUGAAUUAAGAAAACUUUAUGGCGUAGACGCCAUAGUGAGUAAAACUGUUCGUUUUUUAAUAUCUUACAUGAUUUGAGUUUAGAUCGGCGUGAGCUAGAUCGGUUUCUAUCUUUAUUUAUUAUUCCUAUUGUACGAAAGGAUCCGGGAGUAGUGUUAUUAAACACUAUGUUGAGACCUAGAUAA